UACAGAGGGUGCGAGCGUUAAUCGGAAUUACUGGGCGUAAAGCGCACGUAGGUGGCGACGUAAGUCGGGGGGGAAAGCCCCGGGCUCAACCUGGGAAUUGCAUUCGAGACUGCAUUGCUGGAGUACGGAAGAGGAGGGCGGAAUUCCCGGUGUAGCGGUGAAAUGCGUAGAUAUCGGGAGGAACAUCAGUGGCGAAGGCGGCCCUCUGGUCCAGUACUGACACUCAAGUGCGAAAGCGUGGGGAGCACACAGG
rnacentral:rRNA from 1 species